rnacentral:rRNA from 1 species
AAUGAACGCUGGCGGUAUGCCUAAUACAUGCAAGUCGAACGGCAGCACAUUAAGAUCUUGCUCUUACGGUUGGCGGCUGGCGGACGGGUGACGCAUACAUCGGCAUCUACUUUUUCGUGGAGGAUAACGUAGGGCAAGUUACGCUACUGCCUCAACCUUCGAACGGCGUAAUUCAGGGGUGAUUGAUACUUUUGCCAUUUGAAUAAGCUGAGGCCGUGUUGGUUAGUCUGCGGGGUAAAGGACCACCAAGCCGACGAACCGGAGCUGGCCUGAGAGGAUGAUCAGCCACAUUGGAACGGAGAAACGGUCCAGACUCCUACGGGAGGCAGCAGUGGGGAAUAUUGGACAAUGGGCGAAAGCCUGACGCAGCAAUACCGCGUGGGUGAAGAAGGUCUUCGGGUUGUAAAGCCCUUUUGUUGGGAAAGAAAAGCAGCAGAAUAAUACGCCGCUGUUCUGACGGUACCCAAAGAGUAAGCAACGGCUAACUACGUG